rnacentral:rRNA from 1 species
UACGAGGGGGGCAAGCGUUGUUCGGAAUUAUUGGGCGUAAAGGGUGCGUAGGCGGCGCGGUAUGUCGGGUGUGAAAUCUCGGAGCUUAACUCCGAAACUGCAUUCGAUACUGCCGUGCUUGAGGACUGGAGAGGAGACUGGAAUUUACGGUGUAGCGGUGAAAUGCGUAGAUAUCGUAAGGAAGACCAGUGGCGAAGGCGGGUCUCUGGACAGUUCCUGACGCUGAGGCACGAAGGUCAGGGGAGCAAACGGG